UUUUUUAUGGAGAGUUUGAUCCUGGCUCAGGACGAACGCUGGCGGCGUGCUUAACACAUGCAAGUCGAACGGAAAGGCCUAGCUUGCUAGGUACUCGAGUGGCGAACGGGUGAGUAACACGUGGGUGAUCUGCCUCGUACUUCGGGAUAAGCCUGGGAAACUGGGUCUAAUACUGGAUAGGACCAUGCUUUAGUGUGUGUGGUGGAAAGUUUUUUCGGUACGAGAUGAGCCCGCGGCCUAUCAGCUUGUUGGUGGGGUAAUGGCCUACCAAGGCGUCGACGGGUAGCCGGCCUGAGAGGGUGGACGGCCACAUUGGGACUGAGAUACGGCCCAGACUCCUACGGGAGGCAGCAGUGGGGAAUAUUGCACAAUGGGCGCAAGCCUGAUGCAGCGACGCCGCGUGGGGGAUGACGGCCUUCGGGUUGUAAACCUCUUUCGCUAGGGACGAAGCUUUUGUGACGGUACCUAGAUAAGAAGCACCGGCUAACUACGUGCCAGCAGCCGCGGUAAUACGUAGGGUGCGAGCGUUGUCCGGAAUUACUGGGCGUAAAGAGCUCGUAGGUGGUUUGUCGCGUCGUCUGUGAAAUUCCGGGGCUUAACUUCGGGCGUGCAGGCGAUACGGGCAUAACUUGAGUGCUGUAGGGGAGACUGGAAUUCCUGGUGUAGCGGUGGAAUGCGCAGAUAUCAGGAGGAACACCGAUGGCGAAGGCAGGUCUCUGGGCAGUAACUGACGCUGAGGAGCGAAAGCAUGGGGAGCGAACAGGAUUAGAUACCCUGGUAGUCCAUGCCGUAAACGGUGGGCGCUAGGUGUGAGGGUCUUCCACGACUUUCGUGCCGUAGCUAACGCAUUAAGCGCCCGCCUGGGGAGUACGGCCGCAAGGCUAAAACUCAAAGGAAUUGACGGGGGCCCGCACAAGCGGCGGAGCAUGUGGAUUAAUUCGAUGCAACGCGAAGAACCUUACCUGGGCUUGACAUAUGCAGGAUCGGCGUAGUGAUACGUUUUCCCUUGUGGUCUGUAUACAGGUGGUGCAUGGUUGUCGUCAGCUCGUGUCGUGAGAUGUUGGGUUAAGUCCCGCAACGAGCGCAACCCUUGUCUUAUGUUGCCAGCACGUGAUGGUGGGGACUCAUGAGAGACUGCCGGGGUUAACUCGGAGGAAGGUGGGGAUGACGUCAAAUCAUCAUGCCCCUUAUGUCCAGGGCUUCACACAUGCUACAAUGGUCGGUACAACGCGCUGCGAGCCUGUGAGGGUGAGCGAAUCGCUGAAAGCCGGCCUCAGUUCGGAUUGGGGUCUGCAACUCGACCCCAUGAAGUCGGAGUCGCUAGUAAUCGCAGAUCAGCAACGCUGCGGUGAAUACGUUCCCGGGCCUUGUACACACCGCCCGUCACGUCAUGAAAGUUGGUAACACCCGAAGCCAGUGGCCUAACCCUUGUGGGAGGAGCUGUCGAAGGUGGGAUCGGCGAUUGGGACGAAGUCGUAACAAGGUAGCCGUACCGGAAGGUGCGGCUGGAUCACCUCCUUUCUAAGGAG
rnacentral:rRNA from 1 species